GAAAAUUUUGCUGACCCAACUCACAAAUCCUCAAGAAAUUGUUAUGGAAGCUACAAUGAGCUAUUCCCAAAACAUAAUGGAUGAUGAGUAUGAGAAAUUUAUCAGAAGAAUGAAUCCACCAAGAGUGGUGAUUGACAAUGAUUCUUGCAAAAAUGCUACUGUAAUACAGGUGGAUAGUGCUAACAAACAUGGAAUACUUUUAGAGGUGGUACAAAUUUU
rnacentral:misc_RNA from 1 species